rnacentral:rRNA from 1 species
UGCCUUUAGUGUGUGUGUGUGUGGUGGGGGGGGGGGGGUUGUUGUGCGU